GCGGGAUUCGUAUAACGGCUAAUAUAUCAGUUUUCCAAACUGAGGACACCGGUUCGACUCCGGUAUCCCGCACCA
rnacentral:tRNA from 1 species